GCUCUUCCCAUGCGGUCAGGAAAACACUAUAUCACCCUCGCCGGUCCUCGGAUCGGCUAUGGCGAUAAAUGAGCGGUGUAAUAAACCUAUUGGACCCGGGGGCGGUACCCGGCGCCUCCACCAAAAACCGGCGGCCUCGAAGAUUUAGAAGGCCGGCUUUUGAUGGGGGCGAAACAGGAUCGACAAGGGUGUAAAGAUCGUCUUUUUGCUCGGCAUUGUACCGCCGUUAUCGGGCUAAAAUUGUAGUUGCAAACGACAACUAUGCGGAAGCUCGUCUCGCUGCUUAAUCGCGGUGUGACACUUCAAAUAAAGCCCUAGUGGUUCGCACCUCUAGGCGGGGUCCGAAGGCACCUGGCAACAGAAGCCUUCACC
rnacentral:tmRNA from 1 species